rnacentral:rRNA from 1 species
GGGAUUGCCUCAGUAACGGCGAGUGAAGCGGCAAAAGCUCAAAUUUGAAAUCUAACGCCUUCGGUGUUCGAGUUGUAAUCUGAAGAACUUUUCCUUGAGUAUGCCUUUAUCUAUGUUUCUUGGAACAGGACGUCAUAGAGGGUGAGAACCCCGUAUGAUUUGGGCCUCUGCUCGUUGUGGGAUUUGUUCGAAGAGUCGAGUUGUUUGGGAAUGCAGCUCUAAGUGGGUGGUAAAUUCCAUCUAAAGCUAAAUAUUGGCGAGAGACCGAUAGCGAACAAGUACAGUGAUGGAAAGAUGAAAAGAACUCUGAAGAGAGAGUGAAAAAGUACGUGAAAUUGCUGAAAGGGAAGGGCUUUAGGUCAGACUUGGUGUUUAAUGAUUAUCUUCUCUUCUUGAGUUGUGCACUCGUUUUCCACUGGGCCAAUGUCAGUUUUGGCGGCAGAGUACCUCUUGGAAUGUAGCUAUCCUUCGGGUUAGUGUUAUAGACUUGAGACGAUCUGCUUGCCGGGACUGAGGACUGCGCAUUAUUGCUUGGACA